UAUUCGCAUAUAGCAAAGAGGGACUGGACUGAGGUGAACUUCGAGUGACGCUCCGGCGCAGGGGCGUCGUGGAGACAGCGGGAGCGAGUCACGGCGCCUCGGGCCGCUCCCGUCCUGUCGUACCCGGACGCGCCACGCGUGGGCCAAACGGACGCGGUCCUGACUUGAGGGCAGAGCAUAAAUAGACCCAUGCUCCUCAGCUGUUGUCUUCUGUAAGCAACCCCCGACUCGCCCCUCUUUGAAGGUCUUUGGAUGUGACGAGGAUAUCGCUGCUGAGGAGAGACAGCAGAUGCGAGAAUAAGGUCACCAUUGACGAGCUGAUUUCUCACAUCAGCCGCCUGAAUAAUGGAUUAUGAAACUCAUUAUGAAUGGCUGUUUAUCCCUCUGGCCUGACACCCGACGAGCAGCCGGCCGUAAACAUCUUCAAAGACGGGAUCGGAUGCUCCUGCCGUCGAAUUUUCAACAGUUGACCCAGACUCUCCAGUUUCUCCCACUGCACCGAUUCGCGUUAGCUGUGAAGAACAUCAGGCCCGAUCCCAACGGAGUUCAUUACAAUAUUCUUCACUAUUAUGGAAUGUGCGGGUCACGAGGAAUGAAUCAGUGUCUGACUUGGAGGGAGAAACAAAGACAUAAUAUAAUAUCGAUGGAGCUGUGAGGGAGUUGGAUACUAGGAUAAAUGAAAAGGGUGAGGGGGAAGGUAAUUGGCCUGUUAGUUUAUCUCAUGGACCGAGACCAGUUAAAUGAAUUAUUGAAAUAUUCAGUCAAUUAGUGAUUUAUGACUUCCUGUUGCACCCACUGUCUGGCUCUCUGUGCCACCGGGCUCCUUCUCUGAGGUUCCCUAUACUGCACUGGUCAUCGGUGCUCUCUGUCUUUCCUGUCUGUGUGAUUUGGCUCUAUCUAGGUCAAAUAUCUUCACUCUGCUGAAUCAUAAAUUCAGGAAGUAAACAACUCAGUGCCGAGAUGAGACCGGCUUGCUGAUACAUAAUUUCAAAACAUGUGCAUUAUGCAUUCUUUUUGAUCUGGCUUUGAUCUGUGAAUAACUCUUUGAAUUUUGUAAAAAAAAAAAUGUAUUGAAUUUCAUUACUUACAUUUUUCUCCAAGCUCUGGUUUUUGCAUUGCUGAACUUGAAAUGCAAAAUAUUCCCUUUUUUGAGCUGCUCUUCUUUAAUUACAGCUCAUUUUUCAUUGUGGGAGAGCAGUACAGCUGAGAGUGAGCAGAGACUAGCUGAAAUGUACAGUAUUUGUACUGUACAUCACCUCUAGGUACAUUACAACUACACUACCGUCACAAAAACAACCAUUUUGUCAGCGGUUCCAUACAAUACAUGGUUUGUGUAUCUUGGGGUUUAAAUGGUUCACUGUUUAUAAAAAACAACAGAAAAACAAGAGAAAAGGAGCUUUUUCCUUACAGAUAUCCCCACACGAGGCUCCCACUCAGUCAAGGUCAAACCAGAGAGUGAAAACAGGAACGGGGGGAAUCGGAGAGGGCACGCGGCCAGGAUCCAUCCUAGGAUGAACCUAGCCCUUUAAUUACAUUCUUCAUGACCUCUAGGCUUCAAGCAGUUCGCGGCUGCGGGAUCAUAAAAUGUGGCUUAAAGACAGGAACAGACCGUCCAGCAAUAAUUCACGCUUCCAUUUAAAUGACCCAUUGGCGUCUAUUGCACAUUUGAAAUAUUUGCAAAAUGUGAUUAAUGUUGGUUAUUAUCCUAGUGAUACAUGGUACCAGAAAGUUUUAAUGACAGUGUUAUAUGUUGAGUUGUUAAUGUGUUAUGAUAUCAUUAAUACCAUUACAGCUGAGCUGUAUUUCAUUUGUGGGCUCAAAUAACUGGCUCCUGUCUACGCUGCAGUAGUCGCUGUUGCUGAAGUCAGAAAACCCUGUGAAACAGUCACCAGUAAUAUGACUCGACUGUGAACAUUAUCUAUAAGCCAUAAUGACAACAGAUUGCAUUGUUUAACUGAUUCUCACUUUUGUAUUUCUGCAGUGAGAACUGAAUGUUCUGGAGUUUGACUUUGAAACUGCGGGUCCUCGUAUGAGCCUGAGUCAGAGCCGUGGCACCAGGACCGGGACCUAAUGGUCUAUUAUUGAUUUGAGGAUCUAGCGCUUCACGGGGUCAGGGCUUGUCUGUUCAAGGGGGAGCAAGGGGUUUAACAGCCGUGUAGCAGCGACCCACUGACAGCUGAGGGUUAUUUCCAAAAUAAAUGGAAGUUAUUGGAAAUUUAAUAUGUAUUUUUACUGUAAAUAGUACAGUAACUUGAAAUUUGUGUAUAUGAUGGCUGGGAUAUAUGUAGGUUGAAGUGGG